UCUGUCUAUGAUGAUACAGUGAUCCCACAGUUCUUUGAGCUGCUUAGCCGUGAGAUCAAACCUCACAUGUACCACCAUCUGAGACAGA
rnacentral:snoRNA from 1 species